GAUGAACGCUGGCGGCGUGCUUAACACAUGCAAGUCGAACGAAGCACCUUAUUCUGAUUUCUUCGGAAUGAAAAAUUUGGUGACUGAGUGGCGGACGGGUGAGUAACGCGUGGGUAACCUGCCUCAUACAGGGGGAUAACAGUUAGAAAUGACUGCUACUACCGCAUAAGACCACAGCACCGCAUGGUGCAGGGGUAAAAACUCCGGUGGUAUGAGAUGGACCCGCGUCUGAUUAGGUAGUUGGUGGGGUAACGGCCUACCAAGCCGACGAUCAGUAGCCGACCUGAGAGGGUCACCGGCCACAUUGGGACUGAGACACGGCCCAAACUCCUACGGGAGGCAGCAGUGGGGAAUAUUGCACAAUGGGGGAAACCCUGAUGCAGCGACGCCGCGUGAGCGAUGAAGUAUUUCGGUAUGUAAAGCUCUAUCAGCAGGGAAGAAAAUGACGGUACCUGGCUAAGAAGCACCGGCUAAAUACGUGCCAGCCGCCGCAGUAA
rnacentral:rRNA from 1 species